CUGAUGGGCCGGGGGCACUCUGCAUCGGCCUCCUUCCCACCGGGGAUGGCUGGCAUAAACGGCACAAACUCAUUCACCUGAUGGUUACUGAACGAGGAAGUCCAUUAUCUCAGGGCAUAUGGAGUACUUUGAAAGUUUCUGAACUGGCACCUUGAUAACAUCACGCUGCUGGUCAUCAGAGAUCCUUUGAACUGUCUCAAGACAGCAGUAGGCAUUGCAAGAGAAGAGGUUUGCAAUGCGGAGGUUGCCAGGUCUCUGCAAGGAGAAUUCAACAAUGGAUGCUGUUCCUUCAUAAUUCUGAGCCAAUGUGUUUUCAAUUAUUUUAGCACUUUCAACUUAUUGUAAAAUUCAUCUAAUUGCCUUGAUUAAAACCCAGGAGUGUUCACAGUU